AGCAGCCGCGGUAAUUCCAGCUCCAAUAGCGUAUAUUAAAGUUGUUGCAGUUAAAAAGCUCGUAGUUGAAUUUCGGGAUCAAUUUAUCGGUCGUGCCAAUGGUAUGAACUGGUACAAUUGGUUUCUCCCUUCUGACGAAGCAUGAUGUCAUUAAUUUGGUGUCGUGGGGAAUCAGGACUGUUACUUUGAAAAAAUUGAGUGUUUAAAGCAAGCAUUAGCUUGAAUACAUUAGCAUGG
rnacentral:rRNA from 1 species